rnacentral:tRNA from 1 species
AAUUUUAUAGUUUAUAAAAAAUAUUAAAUUGCAAAUUUAAAGAAAAUUUUUGAAUAUUUAAGAUUU